UACAGAGGUCUCAAGCGUUGUUCGGAUUCAUUGGGCGUAAAGGGUGUGUAGGUGGCGCCGUAAGUCGGGUGUGAAAUUUCGAGGCUUAACCUCGAAACUGCAUUCGAUACUGCGGUGCUUGAGGACUGGAAAGGAGACUGGAAUUCAUGGUGUAGCAGUGAAAUACGUAGAGAUCAUGAGGAAGACCAGUGGCGAAGGCGGGUCUCUGGACAGUUCCUGACGCUGAGGCACGAAGGUCAGGGGAGCAAACGGG
rnacentral:rRNA from 1 species